rnacentral:rRNA from 1 species
UGGAUCCAGACUUUGAUUAUGGCUCAGGAUGAACGCUAGCUACAGGCUUAACACAUGCAAGUCGAGGGGAAACGACAUCGAAAGCUUGCUUUUGAUGAGCGUCGACCGGCGCACGGGUGAGUAACGCGUAUCCAACCUGCCCACCACUUGGGGAUAACCUUGCGAAAGUAAGACUAAUACCCAAUGAUAUCCCACGAAGGCAUCCGAAUGGGAUUAAAGAUUUAUCGGUGAUGGAUGGGGAUGCGUCUGAUUAGCUUGUUGGCGGGGUAACGGCCCACCAAGGCUACGAUCAGUAGGGGUUCUGAGAGGAAGGUCCCCCACAUUGGAACUGAGACACGGUCCAAACUCCUACGGGAGGCAGCAGUGAGGAAUAUUGGUCAAUGGGCGAGAGCCUGAACCAGCCAAGUAGCGUGCAGGACGACGGCCCUAUGGGUUGUAAACUGCUUUUAUAAGGGAAUAAAGUGAGUCUCGUGAGACUUUUUGCAUGUACCUUAUGAAUAAGGACCGGCUAAUUCCGUGCCAGCAGCCGCGGUAAUACGGAAGGUCCGGGCGUUAUCCGGAUUUAUUGGGUUUAAAGGGAGCGUAGGCCGGAGAUUAAGCGUGUUGUGAAAUGUAGUGGCUCAACCUCUGCACUGCAGCGCGAACUGGUCUUCUUGAGUACGCACAACGUGGGCGGAAUUCGUGGUGUAGCGGUGAAAUGCUUAGAUAUCACGAAGAACUCCGAUUGCGAAGGCAGCUCACGGGAGCGCAACUGACGCUGAAGCUCGAAAGUGCGGGUAUCGAACAGGAUUAGAUACCCUGGUAGUCCGCACGGUAAACGAUGGAUGCCCGCUGUUGGCCUGAAUAGGUCAGCGGCCAAGCGAAAGCAUUAAGCAUCCCACCUGGGGAGUACGCCGGCAACGGUGCAACUCAAAUGAAUUGACGGA